rnacentral:rRNA from 1 species
CCUACGGGGGGCAGCAGUGGGGAAUAUUGGACAAUGGGGGCAACCCUGAUCCAGCCAUGCCGCGUGUGUGAAGAAGGCCCUCGGGUUGUAAAGCACUUUCAGUGAGGAAGAACGCCUGGUGGUUAAUACCCAUCAGGAAAGACAUCACUCACAGAAGAAGCACCGGCUAACUCCGUGCCAGCAGCCGCGGUAAUACGGAGGGUGCGAGCGUUAAUCGGAAUUACUGGGCGUAAAGCGCGCGUAGGUGGCUUGAUAAGCCGGUUGUGAAAGCCCCGGGCUCAACCUGGGAACGGCAUCCGGAACUGUCAAGCUAGAGUGCAGGAGAGGAAGGUAGAAUUCCCGGUGGAGCGGUGAAAUGCGUAGAGAUCGGGAGGAAUACCAGUGGCGAAGGCGGCCUUCUGGACUGACACUGACACUGAGGUGCGAAAGCGUGGGUAGCAAACAGGAUUAGAUACCCGGGUAGUC